rnacentral:tRNA from 1 species
UGGGUUGUAGCUCAGUGAUAGAGCGCUUGCCUUGCAUGCAUGAGGCUCUGGGUUUGAUCCUCAGUACCACAU